AUAUGUGAUUCAGAGGACUCCGCGAUGGACUAGUAUUUUGUUUUUUUUUUUUUUACGCUCUUCGAGUUGCAAGAGCAUUUUUGUUCGCCGUGAACUUGGCAUUUUGGUUCUAUAGUAUGAUUAGAAGCCCCGUUACAAUUUAUUAGCAGGGAAACGUUCCCUUUUUUACGCUUAAGAUGAAGCUCUUUUGUCAGCCACUUGGAAUUUUGGUUUUCGAUUUUUUUUUUUAGUUAAGUAGUUACAUAGGUAAAAAAAAUAGGUAUUCAAAAAAAUAUGUAUACUUAUAGGUGAUUCAGAGGACUCCACGAUGGCCCAGUAUUUUGUUUUUUUUUUACGCUCUUCGAGUUGCAGAGCAUUUUUGUUAGCCACGAACUUGGCAUUUUGGUUCUGUAUAUUUUUUUAGGAGUCCCGUUACAAUUCA